GGAUGAACGCUGGCGGCGUGCCUAAUACAUGCAAGUCGAGCGAACAGACGAGGAGCUUGCUCCUCUGACGUUAGCGGCGGACGGGUGAGUAACACGUGGAUAACCUACCUAUAGGACUGGGAUAACUUCGGGAAACCGGAGCUAAUACCGGAUAAUAUAUUGAACCGCAUGGUUCAAUAGUGAAAGACGGUUUUGCUGUCACUUAUAGAUGGAUCCGCGCCGCAUUAGCUAGUUGGUAAGGUAACGGCUUACCAAGGCAACGAUGCGUAGCCGACCUGAGAGGGUGAUCGGCCACACUGGAACUGAGACACGGUCCAGACUCCUACGGGAGGCAGCAGUAGGGAAUCUUCCGCAAUGGGCGAAAGCUUGACGGAGCAACGCCGCGUGAGUGAUGAAGGUCUUCGGAUCGUAAAACUCUGUUAUUAGGGAAGAACAAAUGUGUAAGUAACUAUGCACGUCUUGACGGUACCUAAUCAGAAAGCCACGGCUAACUACGUG
rnacentral:rRNA from 1 species